rnacentral:siRNA from 1 species
UCCUCUUUCGAGAUCCUCCAC